rnacentral:rRNA from 1 species
GGUAAGGGAAGUCGGCAAACUGGAUCCGUAACUUCGGGACAAGGAUUGGCUCUGAAGGCUGGGUGCGACCAGCCGGGACCGGUGCUCCACCUGCCGCAAGGUAGGCUGGCCCGUGCCCGCGGUCGCACAGCAAACAGCCAAUUCAGAACUGGCACGGCUGAGGGAAUCCGACUGUCUAAUUAAAACAAAGCAUUGUGAUGGCCCCGGGUGGGUGUUGACACAAUGUGAUUUCUGCCCAGUGCUCUGAAUGUCAACGUGAAGAAAUUCAAGCAAGCGCGGGUAAACGGCGGGAGUAACUAUGACUCUCUUAAGGUAGCCAAAUGCCAGACAUCAUCGGACAGCCGAACGGAGCGGACGUGUUCUCACCUCGCUCCC